ensembl:snRNA U1 U1 spliceosomal RNA
AUACUUACCUGGCACGGGACAUAUCAGGAUCACGAAAGUGGUUUUCCCAGGGCGAGGCUUAUCCAUCGCACUUCGGAUGUGCUGACUCCUGCGAUUUGCCCAAAUGCGGGAAACUCGACUGCAUAGUUUGUGGUAGUGGGGGACUGAGUUCGCACUUUCCCUUG